CCGAGAGAGGGCGCGAACGCGCCCGACCUCCCACCCUUUGUCCAACGAUAUGUCUUGCCUCGGGGGGCGACCCGGCUGCCGCCGGCGAUCUCCCCGGCGGACUCCUUCAAAACACUGCAUCGACGCGUCGGAGUAUUGAAGCAAAUCAAUCA
rnacentral:misc_RNA from 1 species